rnacentral:rRNA from 1 species
CCUACGGGAGGCAGCAGUGGGGAAUAUUGCACAAUGGGCGCAAGCCUGAUGCAGCAACGCCGCGUGAGGGACGACGGCCUUCGGGUUGUAAACCUCUUUUAGUAGGGAAGAAGCGAAAGUGACGGUACCUGCAGAAAAAGCACCGGCUAACUACGUGCCAGCAGCCGCGGUAAUACGUAGGGUGCAAGCGUUAUCCGGAAUUAUUGGGCGUAAAGAGCUCGUAGGCGGUUUGUCGCGUCUGCUGUGAAAACCUGGAGGCUCAACCUCCAGCCUGCAGUGGGUACGGGCAAACUGGAGUGCGGUAGGGGAGAUUGGAAUUCCUGGUGUAGCGGUGGAAUGCGCAGAUAUCAGGAGGAACACCGAUGGCGAAGGCAGAUCUCUGGGCCGUAAACUGACGCUGAGGAGCGAAAGCAUGGGGANCGAACAGGAUUAGAUACCCUGGUAGUCCAUGCGUAACGU